rnacentral:rRNA from 1 species
GCAUAUCAAUAAGCGGAGGAAAAGAAACCAACAGGGAUUGCCUCAGUAACGGCGAGUGAAGCGGCAACAGCUCAAAUUGAAAUCUGGCCUCACGGUCCGAGUUGUAAUUUGUAGAGGAUGUUUCGAGCAUGGUCCGGCCUAAGUGUCUUGGAACAGGACGUCAUAGAGGGUGAGAACCCCGUAUGCGGUCGGGUGCCUACGCUCAUGUGAAACUCCUUCGACGAGUCGAGUUGUUUGGGAAUGCAGCUCAAAAUGGGUGGUAAAUUUCAUCUAAAGCUAAAUAUUGGCCAGAGACCGAUAGCGCACAAGUAGAGUGAUCGAAAGAUGAAAAGCACUUUGGAAAGAGAGUUAAACAGUACGUGAAAUUGUUGAAAGGGAAGCGCUUGCAACCAGACUUGGGCGCGGCCGAUCAUCCGGUGUUCUCACCGGUGCACUCGGUCGCGUGCAGGCCAGCAUCGGUUCUGGUGGCUGGAUAAAGGCCCUAGGAAUGUGGCUCCUCUCGGGGAGUGUUAUAGCCUAGGGUGCAAUGCAGCCUACCGGGACCGAGGACCGCGCUUCGGCUAGGAUGCUGGCGUAAUGGUUGUAAGUGACCCGUCUUGAAACACGGACCAAGGAGUCUAACAUCUAUGCGAGUGUUUGGGUGUCAAACCCAUACGCGUAAUGAAAGUGAACGGAGGUGAGAACCCUUAAGGGUGCAUCAUCGACCGAUCCUGAUGUCUUCGGAUGGAUUUGAGUAUGAGCAUAGCUGUUGGGACCCGAAAGAUGGUGAACUAUGCCUGACUAGGGUGAAGCCAGAGGAAACUCUGGUGGAGGCUCGCAGCGGUUCUGACGUGCAAAUCGAUCGUCAAAUUUGGGCAUA